CGGCUGUAGCUAAAUUGAUUUACAGAGAGGUUUACUGGCCGCCCGUUGUGAGAUUCUAAAUCUCUGUCGACGGAUCUGCUUACCGAGCUUCUUACAUUU